GACGAACGCUGGCGGCGUGCCUAAUACAUGCGAGUCGAACGCAUUUUCCUUCACUGUAUCUCGCUACACAGAGAGAAAAUGAGUGGCGAACGGGUGAGUAACACGUCGGUAACCUGCCCAUCAGCGGGGAAUAUCACUUGAAAACAGGUUAUAAUACCGCAUAAUUCCAUUUACCGCAUGGUAGAUGGAUGAUAGGCGCUGUUGCGUCACUGAUGGAUGGACUCGCGGUGCAUUAGCUAGUUGGUGGGGUAACGGCCUACCAAGGCUGCGAUGCAUAGCCGCACUGCUGGGGGGGUCGGCCACCCUGAGAGUGAGACACGGCACAGGCGCCUACGUGAGGCACAAGGAGUGAAUCUUCGGAAAGGGGCGCAAGACUGAACAAGCAGCGCCGCGUGCGUGAAGAGGGGUUUCGGGUCGUAAAACUCUGUUGUUGGGGAAGAACCAGGAUGCGAGUGGAAAGUUGAUCCCGUGACGGUAUCUAGCCAAAAAGCAACGGCUAACUACGUG
rnacentral:rRNA from 1 species